UACGGAGGGUGCAAGCGUUAUCCGGAUUUAUUGGGUUUAAAGGGUCCGUAGGCGGAUCUGUAAGUCAGUGGUGAAAUCUCAUAGCUUAACUAUGAAACUGCCAUUGAUACUGCAGGUCUUGAGUAAGGUAGAAGUGGCUGGAAUAAGUAGUGUAGCGGUGAAAUGCAUAGAUAUUACUUAGAACACCAAUUGCGAAGGCAGGUCACUAUGUCUUAACUGACGCUGAUGGACGAAAGCGUGGGGAGCGAACAGG
rnacentral:rRNA from 1 species